rnacentral:rRNA from 1 species
UACGUAGGGGGCAAGCGUUGUCCGGAUUUAUUGGGCGUAAAGAGCGUGUAGGCGGUCAGGUAGGUCCGUUGUGAAAACUCGAGGCUCAACCUCGAGACGCCGAUGGAAACCAUCUGACUAGAGUCCGGAAGAGGAGAGUGGAAUUCCUGGUGUAGCGGUGAAAUGCGCAGAUAUCGGGAGGAACACCUGUGGCGAAAGCGGCUCACUGGACCACAACUGACGCUGAGGCGCGAAAGCUAGGGGAGCAAACAGG